UACGAGAGGCCCAAACGUUAUUCGGAAUUACUGGGCUUAAAGAGCGCGCAGGCGGUCGAUCAAGUCGAGUGUGAAAGCCCCCGGCUCAACUGGGGAGGGUCAUUCGAUACUGAUCGACUCGAAGGCAGGAGAGGGUAGUGGAAUUCCCGGUGUAGUGGUGAAAUGCGUAGAUAUCGGGAGGAACACCAGUGGCGAAGGCGACUACCUGGCCUGUUCUUGACGCUGAGGCGCGAAAGCUAGGGGAGCAAACGGG
rnacentral:rRNA from 1 species